rnacentral:rRNA from 1 species
UAGUGAGUUUGAUCCUGGCUCAGGGUUGAACGCUGGCGGCGUGCUUAAGACAUGCAAAGUCGAACGGCAGUCUUCGGACUGUAGUGGCGCACGGGUGAGUAACGCGUAACUGACCUACCCCAAAGUCGCGGAUAACGGGUUCGAAAGAAUCGCUAAUACGUGAUGUGCUGCUCCUCCUGUGGAUCAGUAAAGGUUUACUGCUUUGGGAUGGGGUUGCGUUCCAUCAGCUAGUUGGUA